rnacentral:rRNA from 6 species
GAAUGCUGACAUAAGUAACGAUAAAGCGGGUGAAAAGCCCGCUCGCCGGAAGACCAAGGGUUCCUGUCCAACGUUAAUCGGGGCAGGGUGAGUCGACCCCUAAGGCGAGGCCGAAAGGCGUAGUCGAUGGGAAACGGGUUAAUAUUCCCGUACUUGGUGUUACUGCGAAGGGGGGACGGAGAAGGCUAUGUUGGCCGGGCGACGGUUGUCCCGGUUUAAGCGUGUAGGUGUGUGUUCCAGGUAAAUCCGGUUCACUUUAACACUGAGGCGUGACGACGAGGCACUACGGUGCUGAAGCAACAAAUGCCCUGCUUCCAGGAAAAGCCUCUAAGCAUCAGGUAACACGAAAUCGUACCCCAAACCGACACAGGUGGUCAGGUAGAGAAUACCAAGGCGCUUGAGAGAACUCGGGUGAAGGAACUAGGCAAAAUGGUGCCGUAACUUCGGGAGAAGGCACGCUGACACGUAGGUGAAGUGAUUUACUCAUGGAGCUGAAGUCAGUCGAAGAUACCAGCUGGCUGCAACUGUUUAUUAAAAACACAGCACUGUGCAAACACGAAAGUGGACGUAUACGGUGUGACGCCUGCCCGGUGCCGGAAGGUUAAUUGAUGGGGUCAGCGCAAGCGAAGCUCCUGAUCGAAGCCCCGGUAAACGGCGGCCGUAACUAUAACGGUCCUAAGGUAGCGAAAUUCCUUGUCGGGUAAGUUCCGACCUGCACGAAUGGCGUAAUGAUGGCCAGGCUGUCUCCACCCGAGACUCAGUGAAAUUGAACUCGCUGUGAAGAUGCAGUGUACCCGCGGCAAGACGGAAAGACCCCGUGAACCUUUACUAUAGCUUGACACUGAACAUUGAGCCUUGAUGUGUAGGAUAGGUGGGAGGCUUUGAAGUGUGGACGCCAGUCUGCAUGGAGCCGACCUUGAAAUACCACCCUUUAAUGUUUGAUGUUCUAACGUGGACCCGUAAUCCGGGUUGCGGACAGUGUCUGGUGGGUAGUUUGACUGGGGCGGUCUCCUCCUAAAGAGUAACGGAGGAGCACGAAGGUUGGCUAAUCCUGGUCGGACAUCAGGAGGUUAGUGCAAUGGCAUAAGCCAGCUUGACUGCGAGCGUGACGGCGCGAGCAGGUGCGAAAGCAGGUCAUAGUGAUCCGGUGGUUCUGAAUGGAAGGGCCAUCGCUCAACGGAUAAAAGGUACUCCGGGGAUAACAGGCUGAUACCGCCCAAGAGUUCAUAUCGACGGCGGUGUUUGGCACCUCGAUGUCGGCUCAUCACAUCCUGGGGCUGAAGUAGGUCCCAAGGGUAUGGCUGUUCGCCAUUUAAAGUGGUACGCGAGCUGGGUUUAGAACGUCGUGAGACAGUUCGGUCCCUAUCUGCCGUGGGCGCUGGAGAACUGAGGGGGGCUGCUCCUAGUACGAGAGGACCGGAGUGGACGCAUCACUGGUGUUCGGGUUGUCAUGCCAAUGGCACUGCCCGGUAGCUAAAUGCGGAAGAGAUAAGUGCUGAAAGCAUCUAAGCACGAAACUUGCCCCGA